rnacentral:ncRNA from 1 species
UUAAAAGCGUUGAUAAGAACAAGUAAAACUAAUGUAGUCUAACAGAGAGUUUCCGGUUGGUGAGAGGAGCAAGUUAAGUUAGUUUGAAUACAUCUUAGAGCAAUUUUUCUGAAAGAUAACAACCAGUAAGAAAAAUCGGAAUGGCACACGUUAUAGUGCAAAGGUAUAACCAAUUAUGGCGUACCUAAUAAGGUUAGUAUUGUGAAGUACUAAUAAAUUAAGGUGGUAACACGUGAGCAAUGCUCUCGUCCUUUUA